rnacentral:rRNA from 1 species
UACAGCGGAGAGUUUGAUCCUGGCUCAGGAUGAACGCUAGCGGCAGGCCUAACACAUGCAAGUCGAGGGGUAACGGGCGGAAAGCUUGCUUUCCGUGCCGACGACCGGCGUACGGGUGCGUAACGCGUAUGCAACCUGCCCCGCACCGGGGGAUAGCCCGCCGAAAGGCGGAUUAAUACCCCAUGGUCCCUGGGGGCCGCAUGGUUCCCGGGGUAAAGCUCCGGUGGUGCGGGAUGGGCAUGCGUGCCAUUAGUUGGCUGGUGCGGUAACGGCGCACCAGGGCUACGAUGGCUAGGGGGUCUGAGAGGAUGGUCCCCCACACUGGUACUGAGACACGGACCAGACUCCUACGGGAGGCAGCAGUGAGGAAUAUUGGUCAAUGGGCGGAAGCCUGAACCAGCCAUGCCGCGUGCGGGAAGACGGCCCUACGGGUUGUAAACCGCUUUUCCCCGGGAAGAAUAACCCCGACGCGUCGGGGGAUGCCGGUACCGGGGGAAUAAGGAUCGGCUAACUCCGUGCCAGCAGCCGCGGUAAUACGGAGGAUCCGAGCGUUAUCCGGAUUUACUGGGUUUAAAGGGUGCGUAGGCGGCCCAUCAAGUCAGCGGUGAAAUGUGGCGGCUCAACCGUUUCGCUGCCGCUGAUACUGCUGGGCUUGGAUUCGGUCGAGGCGGGUGGAAUUCGUGGUGUAGCGGUGAAAUGCAUAGAUAUCACGAGGAACGCCGAUAGCGAAGGCAGCUCGCCGGGCCGCGAUCGACGCUGAGGCACGAAAGCGUGGGGAUCAAACAGGAUUAGAUACCCUGGUAGUCCACGCCGUAAACGAUGAUGGCUGGGUGUUCGUCCGCAAGGGCGAGUGCCUGAGGGAAACCAUUAAGCCAUCCACCUGGGGAGUACGGCCGCAAGGCUGAAACUCAAAGGAAUUGACGGGGGCCCGCACAAGCGGAGGAACAUGUGGUUUAAUUCGAUGAUACGCGAGGAACCUUACCUGGGCUCGAACGCGGGGGGGAUGUGCCGGAAACGGUACAGCCAGCAAUGGCCGCCCGCGAGGUGCUGCAUGGUUGUCGUCAGCUCGUGCCGUGAGGUGUCGGGUUAAGUCCCAUAACGAGCGCAACCCCUACCGCCAGUUGCCAGCGGGUGAAGCCGGGGACUCUGGCGGGACUGCCGGCGUAAGCCGAGAGGAAGGCGGGGAUGACGUCAAAUCAGCACGGCCCUUACGUCCAGGGCUACACACGUGUUACAAUGGCCGGUACAGAGGGAUGCGACCCCGCGAGGGGGAGCGGAUCCCGAAAGCCGGUCGUAGUUCGGAUCGGAGUCUGGAACCCGACUCCGUGAAGCCGGAUUCGCUAGUAAUCGCGCAUCAGCCAUGGCGCGGUGAAUACGUUCCCGGGCCUUGUACACACCGCCCGUCAAGCCAUGGGAGCCGGGGGUACCUGAAGUGCGUGACCGCGAGGAGCGCCCUAGGGUAAGACCGGUGACUGGGGCUAAGUCGUAACAAGGUAGCCGUACCGGAAGGUGCGGCUGGAAUACCUCCUUU